ACAAAAGCUAUUUUUGCUUAUUACUAGUAAGAAUAAAGGAUUAAAACUUUUUUUGGGAGCGUGGCCAUCUAAAGUAAAAAUUAUGAUUGUUACAUGUUUUGACUCAGGUGGGACACACUUACAUCAAUGUGAUUGACAUUGAAGCUGGUGAUCUGCAGGAACUGCCUGUGGGAGAAGAGUCAGCAAAUGAGGGUGCUACCAAUCAGCAAAGCAGUCACCUAGCCAUCCCAUCAUCCGAGGAGUUACAUUGUAUGGCAGCGUCAGCCACCAAUGCUGUUCUCUCUCACAAUUCUAAGAGUGAAGAAUCUGCCAAUUCCACUGUGGAUUUAUUUUCUAAACCUGGAAAAGUGGCUCCAACCUACCUGGAAGGAAAAAGCUGGAAAAUAGAUGAUAAGGAAGUGAAGGAGCCUGGGAUUUCCUCAGCAGCACCAGCACACAGACAGCAGGACAAAGAUCUGCUUAAACAAGCUUUCCAGUUCAAACAGCAGAGCACAGAGGCUGACUCUGCAGAAGGCUAUGUGCUGAGGAGCCUGCUGCAGAAUGUCCCUGAAGCUCGCCCUGCACCAAACUCCACAGCGGCUUGCCGACUGCAGCUUCUCUCUGCUGAGCUUCAGAAGAUUGACGAACAGCUGUUGGCAGUGCGGAACAUUGCAGAAAAUAUAGAGCGGGACUUCUCCAGGCCUGAUAUGGUAAAUCUACAGCAUGAAAAGGUAUUCUUUAUUUUUAGUUUUGUCAUUUGUACCUGGGUUGUUAGAUUUGUAAUGUUACAUAAUUUUAGACACUUGAUCUUUUGAAACUAUGUGAAAUUUGGUUUAUGUCAAUUUGAGCUCCUGAAAUUCAAUAUUAUUAACAUGUAGACCAGAUAAUAUAUUUUUGGGGGGUAGUGCUGGGAGCAAAUCUAGAGUCUUGCACAUACUAGGGAAGCC
rnacentral:lncRNA from 1 species